rnacentral:lncRNA from 14 species
UCAUUUCCUUUUAUGCAUUGGGACGCCUAAAAUUACAGUAGAAUAUGAUUUUCUGAUACAUUCACUUUUCUGUGUCUUUCAUGUAAAGAACUGUAGUCAAGAAUGGAAUUAUGACACCCUUCUAUUGGAAGACAAAACCUCAGCCAUCUGAUACUGCAGACACCAGAUAAAGAAAGAGGAGGAAGGUUAUUUCUCUUACUUUCUUAUCCUUAUGUGUGCAGGUAAGAAGCAUAUAACCUCAGUUUAGUACUAGUAUUCUCAAUUAUUUCUAUAAAUCCUUUUCCUGAAGUAUGAAAGACGUAUUUAUGUCUUUUUA